AUUGAACGCUGGCGGCAUGCUUUACACAUGCAAGUCGAACGGUAACAGGCCUUCGGGUGCUGACGAGUGGCGCACGGGUGAGUAAUGCAUCGGAACGUGCCCAGAGGUGGGGGAUAACGCAGCGAAAGCUGUGCUAAUACCGCAUGUGAUCUGAGGAUGAAAGCGGGGGACCAAGCAGCAAUGUUUGGCCUCGCGCCUCUGGAGCGGCCGAUGUCAGAUUAGGUAGUUGGUGGGGUAAAGGCCUACCAAGCCGACGAUCUGUAGCUGGUCUGAGAGGACGACCAGCCACACUGGGACUGAGACACGGCCCAGACUCCUACGGGAGGCAGCAGUGGGGAAUUUUGGACAAUGGGCGCAAGCCUGAUCCAGCAAUGCCGCGUGCGGGAAGAAGGCCUUCGGGUUGUAAACCGCUUUUGUACGGAACGAAAAGGAUCUGGCUAAUACCUGGGGCUGAUGACGGUACCGUAAGAAUAAGCACCGGCUAACUACGUG
rnacentral:rRNA from 1 species